rnacentral:rRNA from 1 species
UACGUAGGGUGCAAGCGUUGUCCGGAAUCAUUGGGCGUAAAGAGCGCGUAGGCGGCCAGAUAAGUCCGGUGUGAAAGUCAAAGGCUCAACCUUUGAAUGCCGCUGGAAACUGUCUGGCUAGAGUCCGGGAGGGGCGAGUGGAAUUCCUGGUGUAGCGGUGAAAUGCGCAGAUAUCAGGAGGAACACCAAUGGCGAAGGCAGCUCGCUGGAACGGUACUGACGCUGAGGCGCGAAAGCGUGGGGAGCAAACAGG